GAGCUCUUGUGGUGACCUGGGAAUCAAUGUGUGAGGUGGUGCUAUGUAGCAGGAACCCCUCUUGCUUUGCAAAUAGUUUUUUGUUUGUUUUCCUUUUUGCCCAAUAGAGCCCUGCUCUACUGACCCUUCAAUGUGCCCGUGUGCCUAAAUAUUCCUGGUCGUGUGAAAAGAACCCAGGUAUUAGCUGAACUAAGGAGCACAAUUCUGCAACAUUUUGGCACCCAAACACGGGGCUUGAGAAAUGAAUGCAAUUGGAGAAACUGGUUGUUUUACCAGGCGUUGAUUGGAAAUGUGUGCUUCCCUUUAAGCAGUCAAGCUCAACUUGCAGAACUGAUGGGAACCCCUUGGGAAAACUGGCCUCAAAUGUUUGUCUACACAGUCCACAUACAGGGUUCUUAACCUGCGACUGACCCUGCUUGUGCCUGUGAACCAACCAACAAUCUCUGGCUGCAGCUCAGAAAGGACAAAAGAGAAUGGAUGAGGGAAACUUCCCAGGGCUUGUCUGGGUAUGCCCACAGUGGACUGGAGCCCAAAAUGCACACUGGAGGAAGUGGAUGGAGCCACGUGGAUGUCAUGCCUUAUGCAGGGGAGGAGCCUGCUCUCUUCAGCUCCUGUGGUAAUGUGGGAAUCGAUCUGUGAGAUUCCAUGAACUCCAAGUUAAGAACACAUGAUCUGGAUGUUUGACAAAAUACCUUCAGCAGGAAUAAUGAAAGCCCUGACAUUUCUGUGUGCAUAAAAACUGGAAAACUUUAAAAGUAAUAAAUCACCAAGUCUUUAUAAAAAUCGAUGAGUUAGGAAACACUUUCUGAAAAUGUCAGAACUCUUGAAAACAUGGAUGAGGAAAAGCAUAAGUACUGCUUUAUGCUUUUCUUAUGAAUUUUAAAAGAUGUAAUUUAAAGGUACUUUAAAGUGAUAUUUGUGCCCUUGUAACUGAUUCAAAGUAGACUGCUAAGGACAAUAAGUAAUAAGAGUCUACAAAUAUCAGUAAAUUAUGAGAAAAAACGGUCUAAUGGUACUUAAAAUUGCAUUGUGAUUUAUUAAAUAACAUUGAACAGCUCCACCUGUAACAUUAAGAUUCCAUUUGAGCAUAUAGAAAAUAUAUUUAUCGCAACCUGAAGUGAUUUGGAAAGUAUGCUGGGAAGAAAAUAUAUUUACAAAUUAGUCUCAGAGGGUAGGUAUCCUGUAGCCAGAUGGAAUAAGAAGAGAGGGAAGGGAGAUUUUGUUCAAAGGGGGAGCAUAAGCUAAGGAAUAAAGCCACAAACAAUGAUUAAAUUAGGUAAAGUGCAAUUAGCUGAAUAUUGCAUAAGCAUACAUAUGGGAAGAAGUGGAAAAAGGAGUGACAAUAUGAAGCUAAAGGGUUUGAAGUGUUCAAGAUAAUACUAGGCUUCCUAGCCUAUUCCGAGACAUCUUGUUUUAGAGUGCAAUAGAUAAGAACUCUAAGGAUGAAAGUAGGAGACAUGCAUUCUAGUCUACGUUUUGGUUAAUGGACUGAAAGUGAAAGAUGGACUGAAAUUGGGGGAUGGAAUAAAAAUGUGAUAGAAUAGAAAAUAGAAAAAGCAAUUAGCCUAAUGUCAUUGAUACUUAGAGAAAAUAUGGAAAAUAGUAAAUUAGUGAUAUAUAUCUUUUCUAAUUCACCAGGGUGAGUGAACAAAGGAAAUCGGAUUUAAAAGUAUUCAUGACAUAGAUGCAAUAAGGUUUCUCAGUCAGACAUAGCAAAUUGAGGGAAGGGAAGAUUUAGAGGAUUGGAAAAUGUCUUGCUUGUAGACUAAUAGGAUAUCAAUAAGCCAUAUGAGCAAUAAUUUGAAAUAGUUUUUGUAAAGUAUCAUGAAGGUAAACCCUGUUUAGAACAAAUUAGAUUUGAAGUACUUGUGACAAAUGCAAUUGACAAUGCCUUUAUGCAGCUGGAAAAUUGUUGCUUAGCAGAAAAGCUUGUGCUGGACAAAUAGAUGUCCAAAUUGAAUAGAUGUUUUCUUAAGCUGAACUAAUUGAGACAAAUAUCCUUAUUAAAUCAAAAAAUUAAAAAUUGAAAUAACUUACCUAUGAUAGGGUAAAUAAUGUUAUUAAUAUACACAAGAAAUAUGUGAUGUAUAUGUGUAUGUACAUAUGUAUACAUAGUAAUAAUACAUAGUGCUAUUUUUAAAUGA
ensembl:lncRNA PURPL p53 upregulated regulator of p53 levels